GCCAGACUCCUACGGGAGGCAGCAGUGGGGAAUAUUGCACAAUGGGGGAAACCCUGAUGCAGCGACGCCGCGUGAGUGAAGAAGUAUUUCGGUAUGUAAAGCUCUAUCAGCAGGGAAGAAAAUGACGGUACCUGAUUAAGAAGCCCCGGCUAACUACGUGCCAGCAGCCGCGGUAAUACGUAGGGGGCAAGCGUUAUCCGGAUUUACUGGGUGUAAAGGGAGCGUAGACGGUGAUGCAAGUCAGAAGUGAAAGCCCGGGGCUCAACUCCGGGACUGCUUUUGAAACUGUGUGACUGGAGUGCAGGAGAGGUAAGCGGAAUUCCUGGUGUAGCGGUGAAAUGCGUAGAUAUCAGGAGGAACACCAGUGGCGAAGGCGGCUUACUGGACUGUAACUGACGUUGAGGCUCGAAAGCGUGGGGAGCAAACAGGAUUAGAUCCCCCUGUA
rnacentral:rRNA from 1 species